GGCCCGUGGCCAUGGGGCCUGGGGCGGGGGCUCCCGGUUGCCUGCCCCAUUGCCCUACCAAGCUCUUGGCCUACUACCACACGUUCCCAGGGUCAUCCCAGGCCCUGCUCUGACCUCUGACUCUGAAAUCCGGAUUUCAAACACUCCACCAUUUAACCGUGGCUCUCACCUGCCUGGCCCGGUUACUCUGGGGCCUCCGGCGUCCCCAGCUGGGACCUCUGCUCCAGAAGCACUUAGCCUGGUCCCUCGCAGCUACAUCAUUCCCGCCUGCAGAUGGUGUGAUCUCCGUGGAACACUCCCCCACACCCUUUCUCACCCUCUGGGCCGAACCCAGCCUCCAUUAAUCCCAGCUCUGCUGGUGGCUGUGCCCAGCUGGUGCUGCAGGGAAGGGGCUGCCCUGCGGGCCACAUUCCCAGUCCACGCCGUGGCAGGUCUUGCAAUGCCUGGUGGGCCCUGGCCACCUCCAGCCAGUGGCUUGUCACUGUCAGAAUGGUUUACAUUUCCUCUCUUUACAAGUCCCCUGCUCAUUCUCUGCACCCACCCCCUGCUCUGGACAGAGGGACAAUGGAGAGACCCCUCCCCAGCGCCUGCCCUGAGGCUGGCCUCCCCCUGACCUUGAGCACUGUUUCUGCAUGUUUCUGUCUGCUUUGUGGACAUGCAGAACAGUUCUCAUUUUAGGCGGCUUGAGGUCUUUGAAGUUAUUUAUGAGUGGCUUAUUUUCCACAUUUUUCUGCUCUAGCUCUGUGGUCGCUGCUUGCACGAUGCACCCUGUUCCGUCAUUUGCUCUCAGUCUGCCCGUAGCUUUGAAUCUGAAAGGUGUCUUCUGUGUUGCCUUACCCAUUUGUGUCAGGAACAUUACAAAAAUGACAUUCUGCCCUCCUUUGUGUGCUGCGAUGAGGCACAGAACGCCACCUUCCCCUGGCUGCUGGAGUGAAUUCGGGCCCCCUGGGUUUCUCCACUGUGAAGAUGCUGCUUUCCCACUGUGCUUAGGAACAGUCCAGGUGGUCUGUGAGCCUGCAUUUCUUAGCAGAUAGUCAACCUAUUGGUUGAUUGCUGCCUGGAUGAAUUAUUACUGUAGUUGCAAAAGGGUGACUUUGUAACCAUUACCAUUCUUUUGUAAAGAAGAACUUCCUUUUC